UGGGGAAUCUUGCACAAUGGGGGAAACCCUGAUGCAGCGACGCCGCGUGAACGAUGAAGCACUUCGGGGUGUAAAGUUCUUUCGACAGGAACGAUAAUGACGGUACCUACAGAAGAAGCACCGGCUAACUCUGUGCCAGCAGCCGCGGUAAUACAGAGGGUGCAAGCGUUAAUCGGAAUUACUGGGCGUAAAGGGCGCGUAGGUGGUUAAUUAAGUCAGAUGUGAAAUCCCCGGGCUUAACCUGGGAAUUGCAUUUGAAACUGAUUGGCUAGAGUACGGGAGAGGGAAGUGGAAUUUCCGGUGUAGCGGUGAAAUGCGUAGAUAUCGGAAGGAACACCAGUGGCGAAGGCGACUUCCUGGCCCGUUACUGACACUGAGGCGCGAAAGCGUGGGGAGCGAACAG
rnacentral:rRNA from 1 species